AACUCAGAGCCAGCAACCGCGGUAAUACGGAGGGGGUUAGCGUUGUUCGGAAUUACGGGGCGUAAAGCGCGCGUAGGCGGAUUAGUCAGUUAGAGGUGAUAUCCCAGAGAUCAACCCUGGAACUGCCUUUAAUACUGCUAGUCUUGAGUUCGAGAGAGGUGAGUGGAAUUCCGAGUGUAGAGGUGAAAUUCGUAGAUAUAAGGGAGGAACACCAGUGGCGAAGGCGGCUCACUGGCUCGAUACUGACGCUGAGGUGCGAAAGUGUGGGGAGCAUUCAGGAUUAGAUACCCUGUAGUCCACACCGU
rnacentral:rRNA from 1 species